AGGCGGUGGAAAAAUUUUAGGAGGUAUUUUUUUUCCAGAUUUUUCAUCUUUUAUUGUUCAUUAUUUUACAGUGACAAAUUCUGCCGAAAUCCGGCAAGUCCACCAUCCAAAACCCCAUCUCCGUUCAUAACAUUUUUCCGGUCAAACAACUUCAACCCGUCAUCUCUUCCUUUAUUGCUACUACCAGCAUUUCCAGACCUCCAAACAACAAGAAAGCCGUCUCUUUCCUUCACUAUUUCGACCAGACCUCAAACCCUCCACCAUAAGCCCUUCUCGGUGAACAACGAGCUCUAAGCUCUGUUUCCCCCGAGGAACAGUCGCUAAUACCAAACCCCCAAAUCACCAGAACCCCAAACCAGACCCUUCCACUUUCACCAUCUCCGUUCAUCUCCUUUCUCCGGCAAAAAAUAACUCCGAUCACCCCUUUUCUCUUCCUCACAAUAAAAAGAAGCUCCAAACAACCCCAUUUCCCUCUCCCUUUUGUUGCUAACAACAACAAACUCCAGAUCACACUAUAAACAACCACAACACUACCAAUUGUCAGAUUUCUUUAUUAUUGGCGAACUCAGAGCUUCAAGCUCCAACACCCACCAAUAAAACCCCUACCUAAAACCACCCAUCUCCAGUGAAAUAGAACCCAACUUCCAGACCACCCGCGAGCUUUUGUCUCAAGCAAACAAAAACAAUAACAGACCAUCACAAAAUGGCAACUGGGUGAAAUACUUAAUCUCCGAUGAUCAGUAUUAGUUUACUGUAUUGUUGAUUUAGUUUCUUCCGAUAAUUAUUUUAUAGUGCUGGUAGAUUUUUGAUCUUGCUGAGGAGAUUCACAAGAGUUAGUUAGAAUGGCAGUUUAGUUAGUUAGUAUAGCUACUUGGUUAAUUAUCCUCAUAGACAAUAAAUAUGAGGAUCUUGUACAUCAAAGAUCAGACUUAUUGGGAUAUACAAUCAGAGAGUUAUUUCAUCAUCUUCUUCUCUCAAUAUACAGUAAAUUGUUCAUAUAUCAUCAUGAUAUUAGAGAUGUGCCCAACGUAGUUCGUCCGUAAUUGAUUCUGGAGAUUUCACACUCUGUUCUUGAUUCUUUGUAUUGCGAUUGCAUCUCUUCAACAAUGUAGGUUAAAUUCAAUAAAGGAUGACUAAUGCAACAAUUAGUGGUAUUGCAGAUUGAAUAAACAUGACUACUACAACUAGUGUACCAACAUUGGUUCAAGGCUUGCAAGAUCCUAUGGAUUUCAACCAUCCUUUGUACCUGUCGAAUUCUGAUGUAUCAAGUAUGACCAUUAUUUCAUUUAAGUUAAAAGGAAGUGAAAAUUAUGGGAUGUGGAGUAAAUCUAUUAGGAUAGCCUUAUUAUGAAGGAAUAAGGUUGGUUUAAUAGAAGGAUCUUGGACGAAAGAAAGUUUUCCUGUUAAGCUUUGGAAUCAAUGGGAAAGAGUAAAUGUCAUAAUAUUGUCUUGGCUCAUGAAUUCAGUGUCGAGUAGUCUUCUUGGUAGGGUAGUGUAUGCCUCAACUGCUCAAGCUCUGUGCCAAGAUUUAAAAGAAAGAUUUGACUAGAUAGAUGGGUCUAGAAAUUUUAAUCUUCAUCAAGAAAUAAUCACCAUAUCCCAAGGGGUUCAGUCUGUUUCAGUGUAUUUCACUAAUUGAAGGAAUUAUGGGAUGAAUUUGAAUCCAUGGUUCCAUUCCCAACCUGCAAUUGUGAGAAGUCUAAGGAGUUUAUGAUAUAUGUGCUGAGACAAAGGUUGUAUCAGUUUCUGAUGGGCUUGAAUGAGACAUACUCACAAGCAAGAAGUCAAAUCUUGUUGAUGGUUCCUUUACCAUUAGUAAAUAUAGCUUACUCAAUGGUGAGUAGUUAUGAGAGUCAAAAGAGUGUGGCUCAAGCUGUUAAUGCCUCGGAGCUGUUAGGUUCAAUGCUUGGGAUGUCUGAUAUAGCCAUGUGUUCCAAGUCUAGUAGUCAGAGCUAUCAAGAUAUAUAUAAAAAGAGCAUAUACAUCUACUUAUAAUCCUAACGUGGUGUGUGAUCAUUGCAAGUUAAAGGGGCAUUUAAAGGUAAAUUGUUACAAACUGGUGGGAUAUCCAACAGAACAUCCCAAGUAUGGAGAGUUGAAAAGAGGGGUUGAGAAUAGGUCCAACAACUCUUAUGAUCACAUGUAUAAACAAAGAAGAAUGGGAGCAGGUGCACAUAAUGAUGUGGUUGAGGAGGCAGGCACAUAUGGUUGUAGUCAACUACAUCAUUCACAUGGUUGUAGUUAGCUACAUCAUUCUCAUGAACAACAACAACUCUUCUCAACAGAUUCAAGGUGGAUCAUCACUAGCUAAUAUGACUGCUCCUCCAAGAUUCACCUCUGGAACAAUAUGAACAAAUCUGCAAGAUGUAAGAACAAAAAACACAACCAACGAGUUCAAUGCAUCAACUAAUAUGUCAGGAUCACUACAGUGGAAAGGUGAAGGAGAUUGGUAGAGAAAGAGAUGGUCUCUAUUAUCUACUAAUUCAUCAUAAACAACUUUUUAGACAUAGGAGAUUGCUAAAUAUCUUAGCGUAGCUGCUCUUGAUCGGACUACUGUAGAACUUUUACACAAGAGGCUGGGUCAUGUGUCAUCUAGAGUGUUAUGUCAUUUGUUUCAUGGUAAAAUUUCUUACAUAACAUAUACUAUAGGAAAAUGCCAUGUAUGUCCAUGUGCUAGGCAAACUAGGUUUAUCUUUUCCAGUGAAGUCAUCUAAUUGUACUAAGAAUGCAUUUGAUGUACUGCAUAUGGAUGUAUGGGGACCUUAUAAGGUGCCUAAUUGUGUUGGACAAAAAUGUUUCCUGACUAUAGUAGAUGAUUUUUCAAGAAUGACUUGGGCGUUAC